rnacentral:rRNA from 1 species
ACGGGGGGCCUACGGGAGGCAGCAGUGGGGAAUAUUGCACAAUGGGCGCAAGCCUGAUGCAGCCAUNCCGCGUGUGUGAAGAAGGCUUUCGGGUUGUAAAGCACUUUCAGUGGGGAGGAAAGGCAAGUCGCUAAUAUCGGCUUGCUGUGACGUUACCCACAGAAGAAGCACCGNCUAACUCCGUGCCAGCAGCCGCGGUAAUACGGAGGGUGCGANCGUUAAUCNGAAUUACUGGGCGUAAAGCGCGCGUAGGUGGUUAAUUAAGUCAGAUGUGAAAGCCCCGGGCUCAACCUGGGAACUGCAUUUGAAACUGGUUAACUAGAGUUUUGUAGAGGGUGGUAGAAUUUCAGGUGUAGCGGUGAAAUGCGUAGAGAUCUGAAGGAAUACCAGUGGCGAAGGCGGCCACCUGGACAAAGACUGACACUGAGGCGCGAAGGCGUGGGGAGCAAACGGGAUUAGAUACCCCGGUAGUCCACCGCAGUAAACGAUGUCUAUUAGAAGUUUGUGGCUAUAUGCCGUGGGUUUCAAAGCUAAACGCAUAAAUANCCCGCCUGGANUCGCAC